CGUCGGACCCGAGUAGCGAAGAGCAGUCAGCGAGGUCCUGCAGCCACAAGGCGCACGAAAUAAACGUGGAGUGACACCCGCCAGCGCUAGACUCCGGCCUUUGCGCUCCUGCAGGAUUUAGUAAGGAUGUAGAAUACCGGCAGGGAUGCCCUGGAACAGCCCCCUUAUUACAGAAGCCCCUUCCCUCAAACCUGAACCUUAUCCUGGGUCCUGACUUAUGGAUUUCCACGUGGUCUCUUUUGGCCUGACGCCAAGAGCCCGCCCCGCUCCCCAAGCCCCGCACUCUUCUCGGCAGUGGCGCGUGAGCACAGCCUUUAAAAGACCGUCCGUUAAGAAAAAGUGACACUACGAACCCUCCUCCACUUUCUGAAAACGCCACAGUGGAAAGUACCGAAUCCCCGAAAACCCUGUUCCUGUCUUUCCUAGUGGCCUCAGCGGCCCAUCGCCACGUUUGGCUGGUCUCUUCGCAGUCGUAGUUGCCAUUCCCAAGCCAACACCUCUCCAAGGAAUGGGCAUUUUCCUGAGUCCGAGGCAUCUCCUAGGGAGGGGCAUCCUUAGGCGAGGGACCUUUCUCAGUACCACUCAUAUUCAUCCAAUUUGAACAGUCGUCUGAAAUUGGAAUCUUUGUGUACCCACCCCCCUAUGUUGGGCACCUUGUUUUCCCCUUAUACCUAGUAGUCGUAGUGAAAGAGCCUCUAGUAAGAAACAAGAUACCCUAACAGCGGUGGAAGGUAAUCCAAUGGUAGAGCUGGAAUAGAGUGAGAGACUCUCUGACCCAGGAGUAGAUGCAGAAACUGAAUUGAUGUGAGGUCAGCCAGCUAGAGUUGGUGUGGUAUGGCUCAUGGUGAGGAGCUCUGGCUUUAGGGUCAGAGUGCCUGAGGACCAGGUCCAUGAGCCCUAGGUCUUUAGGAAAAAAAGUUACACUGGCCUCAAUAGAGUUGCUGUGAAGAUGAGUGAGAUUAUUUAUGUAAAGUGACUGGUGCUUAGUAUGGGUAAAUUAGUGAUUUUUUAAAAGCCUUUUCAGCUGUAUUUCCAGCUUCCCACAACUUGUUCCUAGCCCUGUCUCCUGUUUCCUCUGGUUUCUGAGUAGCACGACCACUAGCCAGUCCAUCUCCAUCUCCAUCCCCAUCCUCACCCACUUUCCAGCCUUUAAAAUGAGUAGGGAAGCUCUUAGCUGAGUUUUGGGGCGAUCUCCACACAUGCAGAUCGUCACAAAAUUUCCAGGAUAGGCCCAUUUUCCAAAUAUUCGUCAAUGAGUUCUAAGUUGGAGUAGACAAAAAUAUGGGCAUUGCACAUUAUCUGUUGUAACAGGAACUGGAAUAGCAUGAUUAUAUGACUCCUAGUGUGGAUGAUUCUGGAACCAGUAACUCAUAGCAGUCUUGGCUGAUUAAUGGAGCAGAUAUUGGUGAAGACAACUCCGCGCAAAGUCACUCUUUUGCCUGGGGACCAGACCCCAACCCCUUACAACCAAGCAGAGGGCCCUAAUAAUUUGUUAUUUGAAACAGGUGAUAUGAUCUUCCUCCUCCCUUUUCACCAUCACAGAGCAGCUUUUACACAAAUAGCUUGGGGAUCACCACGUCCUUCUUCCACAGCCAAGGAGGAGAAAGUUCCUAGAAAGUUUAGCAUAGCAAUAUGUCAGAAGAGGCAUUCAAGGGGCCCAGAGUAAGGCACUCCUGGCUCCGAGAACACCUGGAAGACACACUUUGAGAGAAGUGCAAAGAAGUUUCUCUAAAUUUGAGUUUGCUUUUUAUUUGUAUUUGUCAUACAUUUUGAUAUACCCUAGGUGCAGGGGAACAUGACAGAUUUUCCCCCAAAAAAUUAUCACUUUUUUCAACCAUACAGAAAAUUUGAAAAAACAGUACGAUGAACAACCAUAUGUUCAACCCCACACAAAUUGUUAUUUUCCCAUAUUUGCUCUCGUUUCUUUGCUCCAAGUUUUUCUGCAUAGCCCCUGUCCUCCCAUCACUGUGCAGGUUACCACUAGCCUUUAUUUCUUGAGGGCUUCCUAUGUGCUGGGGGACCAGUAUGGACCAUCUCAUUAGAGCUAUACUUCCACCCUACUAAAUAGGCCCUAUUGAUAUUCCCAUUUUAUUUUUUUAUUUUGAGACGGAGUCUCACUCUGUCGCCCAGGCUGGAGUGCAGUGUUGCAAUUUCAGCUCACUGCAAGCUCCGCCUCCCGGGUUCACGCCAUUCUCCUGCCUCAGCCUCCCGAGUAGCUGGGACUACAGGCACCUGCCACUAUGCCCAGCUAAUUUUUUGUAUUUUUAGUAGAGAUGGGGUUUCACCGUGUUAGCCAGGAUGGUCUCGAUCUCUUGACCUCGUGAUCCGCCCGCCUUGGCCUCCCAAAGUGCUGGGAUUACAGGCGUGAGCCACCGCGCCCGGCCGAUAUUCCCAUUUUAUAGAUGAAACGUAGGCAUAGAUAUGUGACUUGCUUAAGGUCACCUGGCAAAUUGGAUACAGAACCCACUUACUGAAUCACUAUACUACCUUAUAACACGUAAACUUAAUCUCAUUUAAGCUUUUCAAUCUCAUUUAGACUGACAACAACCUUGAUAUCAAUUGUAGAGCUCAGAGAGGAUAUGAAAUUUGCUAGAGGUGACAGAGCUGAGAGAUUCAGUGCCUGCAUCAGAUUCGUAACAGUGAGACUGAAGACAAUAUGACAGGCGGAGUCAAAACUCCGGCAAGCCUCUGUCUCAUUUCUCAAUUUGGUUUUCUCAUCUGUAAAACGAUUCCUGUAACGUGACUGAGGUACAGACUGCGCUGGCUCUCCAGAUGUGUUCUCUAUAGUCCCUACUGAAUGGGGAGCACUGAGUAAAUAACUGCCACCUAUCUCAGGAAGAGGGUGUUUUGAGAAUUACCAGAAACCUGUAAGUGGGGGACAUUUAGCAGUGUGGCUAAGAGUGGGACUCUAGACUCAGAUCCCGGCUACUCCACUGUUGUUUAAUGGUUCUAUUCGAGGGUCACAGGACCCAAGCCAUCAGGUAAGCCUGACUCCACUAAUCUCUGGAAUUCAGUAUCCAGGACCUCACCUGACCUGGUGUUUCCACAGAGAUCCCAAUUACAGAGUGGACCCAGAGGGAAGGGAAAAUCCCGCAAACGUUGCCAACCACCAUUCCUGAGCUGAAUUCACCUUCCCUCCCCGCAGACAGACACUUGCAGGAUUUAGACAAACCACAACUGUUUAUUGGUGAAAGACUCAGCUUCCUCAUGUGCUCGCUGCAAAAUAAAUAAAAUA
rnacentral:lncRNA from 10 species